rnacentral:lncRNA from 1 species
AUGUCAGGUUCAAGCACUAUAAAUAAAGGUAUUGAUGUGGAUUUCCGCUUACUCACAUUUCAGGGGAAUUUUUUUAGCCAUGCUAGGGGUGUGGCUGUAGGCAUGGCAAAGUUGGUCAGUCAGUCCACCACUUUGUUCUAUGACUCAAAAAUGUACAACUGCGUGAUGGACUGCGAUGACAUUUUGCACAGACAUUCAUGCUUGUGACAGUGACAUUUUUAGUAAUGUGACAUAAUUUUUCCCUCAACCCACUUCUUCAAGAGGUUAGAUUACACUAUGGGUUUAAGAAUGAGGGUAGCAUUAGGACUGGGUUGAAGGCUUAUUUAAAUGUUAAAGAUAGUAGUUUUAGUUAUAGUUUUGCAGAUGAACGUAAGGAGUGAGGAAAUACAUUUAUUCAAAAGAAGAUACACAUAAAGACAACAUCUCGGUGUGUAUUAGGGAAGGUUUGUGAAUGUUUGGAUGUGAGGUCCAAAAACAUUUGAAUUAAUUUUGUUAAGUGUUGUAACAACCAUAAAAAUGAGCAAACGAUUCUGAAAAUGCUGAUUAGUCCUUUUAAAAUAAUUUCACAAGACAAAACCAUUAACUAAACUAAAUUGUUCAUCUCCAUCCUUAUUUGAGAUCCAGUUGCAAAAGCAAGGCUGUACAUUUCACCUUUCACCAAACAACUACCAGUUUUUACCACUUUUUUGCACUACUUUGCCUUAUUGCUGCUGUAAAUGGUAAAUGGUAAAUGGACCUGUACUUGUAUUGGGUGGCUGUGGCUCAGAGGCAGAGCGGGUUGUUCCUUAAUCAGAAGACUGUGGGUUCAAUCCCCGGCUCCUGGUGCCCCACGUCAAAGUAUCCUUGAGCAAGAUACUGAACCUCAAAUUGCUCCCGAUGCCGUGCAUCGGUCUGUGAGUUUGUAUGAAUGUUAGUUUCUGUUCAAUGGACUUUGCCAUCACUGAGUGAAUGUGUGUGAAAGGGUCAAUUAGUAGUAGUGUAAAAGUGCUUUGAGUGGUCGGAAGACUAGAAAGGUGCUAUACAAGUACAGGUCCAUUUACCAUUAGAUGGCUAAGAAAUAUCAGAUUGCAUUUCCGUCUGAUGGGAAUAAACAGGCACCAUAGAUGUCGGUUCACUUCUUGGGAACUUCUUGCGUAUUGUUGUGGCUUAGUUGAGGUGUCUUGAAAGCUGAUUGGAAGUGAGAAGAGAGGUGUGUGGCAAAGUUACCGGUAAUAGGAAGUCACCUCCUCUGGGGUCACAUAUCCCUAAAUCCCUGUGAAGGAGGACAAGCAGCAUUGGUUUCCUCUGCAGAGCUGACACAAGACUUCACACAAGAAACACACACUGAGGUAGGGUAACUUACGGGAUAACUGUUCUUGUAUUUAACAGUGCUUUGUAUAUCACGUCAUGUUAAUAUUUUCAGUUAUUACCUAUAUAUAAAAAUUAACCACCCAUAGGUGUUUUUGUUUGAUGCUUUAAGAUCUCAUUUGUUCUGUAAUGGUUCUCACUUUUAUCUUUUCCCCUAAAUAACUGUCUUUUCUGUUACAACCAUCCAACUAGCUGAGAU